UUAGAGUUUGAUCCUGGCUCAGAAUCAACGCUGGCGGCAUGCCUAACACAUGCAAGUCGAACGGGAAAGUCCUUCGGGACGAGUACAGUGGCGCACGGGUGAGUAACGCGUGGGUUAUCUACCUCCGGGUGGGGAAUAACUCGGGGAAACUCGAGCUAAUACCGCAUAAUACGUUCUACGUUAAAGCAGCAAUGCGCCUGGAGAUGAGCCUGCGUCCGAUUAGCUAGUUGGUGGGGUAAUGGCCCACCAAGGCGACGAUCGGUAGCCGGCCUGAGAGGGCGGUCGGCCACACUGGCACUGAAACACGGGCCAGACUCCUACGGGAGGCAGCAGUGAGGAAUCUUGGGCAAUGGGCGAAAGCCUGACCCAGCAAUGCCGCGUGAACGAUGAAGUCCUUCGGGAUGUAAAGUUCAUAAGCAGGAGAAGAACACCAUGACGGUAUCCUGUGUAAGCCCCGGCCAACUACGUGCCAGCAGCCGCGGUAAUACGUAGGGGGCAAGCGUUGUUCGGAUUUACUGGGCGUAAAGGGCGCGUAG
rnacentral:rRNA from 1 species